ACUUCCAGGCUGGGUCUGCCCACAUCAGUUAAGGCAAUCAAGACAAUCCCUCACAGACAUGCUCAUAGGACAACCUGAUGUGGACAGUCCUUCAAAGAGAGACUCUUCCCAGCACCAAUCUGGAGAUCAAGACUUUACCAGCAUGGACCAGUGCGGGGGAAUUCUAUCUGAAAGCUCAGUCAAGUGUCAUCUCCAAAUACCAUUCCAUCAGGACUUUCAACAAGCCACCAAAUCCCAUCAGGGGACUACAUUCUCGUGACCUGGAGGAACCCUAACCACCCCUCAAAGGCCUUGUGGUCAUGAGUUUUCUGUUCCUGUGACA